CGCGUUCAGGGAUACAUUUGGCGCCACAGACGCAACACUGCCACUGUAGAAGUGAGAUUGUCCUCUCUGAGUUAAAACAUACAUUUUCACCCUACAUAGCUAUAAACUCAGCUUCAACAUGCUGACAAGUGGAGCGAUAGAGGCCCUAACCAAAGGCUCUAAUGAUUUACAAAACCCCAUACUUCAAUUAGUGAACAUCCGUAAAAUUGAUGGAGGCAGUGGACCAGCCCGCUUUCGUCUGAUGAUGAGUGAUGGACAGCACUCAAUGUCCUCGUUCAUGCUCUCCACCCAGCUCAACCCAAUGGUUGAGGACAACCGACUGGCCCCAAACUGUAUCUGUCAGCUGAAGAGGAACGUGACCAAUGUCUUAAAGGAUGGACGGCGUGUGGUGGUCAUACUGGACAUGGAGGUGGUGACGUCUGCUGAUAAGGUCGCUGGAAAGAUCGGAGAGCCCCAGCCUUACGUGGAAGGUCAGAGUAAAGCCCCACAGUCAGCCUCCAAUCCCUCAGUCCACCCCCUGCAACCCCAGAAUGGAAUUGAUGGCUCCAUGUACAAAGGUCCCAGCAGAGAGUUUGGGGGGAAGAAGGGCAUGCCUCCGUCUGCCAUGCCCAGCACUCCUGGGGGAUCCGCCAAAGUCGUGCCCAUCGCCAGCCUCAACCCCUACCAGUCAAAGUGGACCAUCCGAGCCCGUGUCACCAACAAGAGCGGCAUCCGCACCUGGAGCAACUCUCGUGGGGACGGCAAGCUGUUCUCUAUGGAGAUUGUGGAUGAGAGUGGAGAGAUCAGAGUGACUGCCUUUACCCAGGAGGUGGACAAAUUCUACAGCAUCAUCGAGACUGGCAAGGUGUUCUACAUCUCCAAGGGAUCCCUGAAGAUCGCCAACAAGCAGUACUCAUCCCUGAAGAAUGACUAUGAGAUGACCCUGAAUGGAGAGUCCACCAUCAUCCCCUGUGAAGACACCCAGGACGUACCCAUGGUGCAGUGCAACUUCGUCUCCAUCGCCGACCUGCAGGCCCGAGAAAAGGACACCAUUUUGGAUGUGAUUGGAGUGUGCAAGAGCGUGUCCGACGUGACCCGCCUCAACACCAAGAACAACCGUGAGGUCUCCAAGAGGACGCUCAACCUGAUGGACCAGUCUGGUAAACUGGUGGAGGUCACCCUGUGGGGAGAGGAGGCAGAGAACUUUGAUGGCUCUGGGCAGCCCAUCCUGGCCAUCAAAGGGGCCAAGCUGUCGGACUAUGGGGGCAGAUCUCUAUCUGCUUCGUUCAGCAGCACCGUCAUGGUCAACCCCGACAUCCCUGAGGCAUACAAGCUGCGGGGCUGGUAUGACAAGGAGGGCCACUCUAUGGAUGGCCAGUCUCUGACGGAGGCGAGGACAGGUGGAGGAGGAGGUGGGAACACCAACUGGAAGACCCUGGCUGACAUCAAGACGGAGCACCUUGGACACGGAGACAAGGCAGACUACUUCAGCUGCAUCGCCACCAUAGUGUACAUCCGUAAGGAGAACUGUCUYUACCAGGCGUGCCCUAGUCAGGACUGCAAUAAGAAGGUGGUGGACCAGCAGAACGGCAUGUUCCGCUGUGAGAAGUGUGACAAAGAGUUCCCCAACUUCAAGUACCGACUCAUCCUCUCUGCCAACAUAGCAGACUACGGGGACAACCAGUGGGUGACCUGCUUUCAGGAGAGUGCUGAAGCCAUCUUGGGACAGAACGCUGCUUACCUAGGGCAGCUCAAGGACUCGAAUGAAGCUGCCUUCGAGGAGAUCUUUCAGCAGGCCAACUUCCACACGUUCGUUUUCCGUAACAGAGUCAAGCUGGAGACCUACAAUGACGAGUCCCGGAUCAAGGCCACGGUGAUGGAGGUGAAACCUGUGGACCACAAGGAGUACAGCAAGAGACUCAUCAUGAACAUCAGGAAGAUGGCUUCCGCRCAAUAAGAACGCUCGCUUUGCCCCCUCGGCUACGUUCAAGCUUCGCCCCCUGAUCUGCAGCCGCAGCACUUCCCAACCUGCCAGACUGACUGUGAACCAGUCCUAGGUUUCAUCCCAAAUGACACCCUAUACCCUAUGUAGUGCACUUCUUUUGACCAAAAGUGGUGCACUACAUGGGGAAUAGGGUGUCAUUUCAGACGUAACCGAAGUGUUACUAUUCUAUACUUUUUAUUUAGCUCUGUCCAUGUUACUCUGUAAGUCACUGAACUUUGAAUAUGUUAACUAUGCUGAAUGUACUGGAAGUUUGGUUUUGUCUUCUUGGCCCAACCAGUAAUCUAGAGAGAGUGCUGCUGGGGCAGUAUUAUAUCUCUCUGUGUUAUGGUGAUGGGUGGGGGGUGACUUCCGAAACUGCUGACAUUUUGGGUGGUGGAUAAAAUGGAGGGAGGGAUGAAUGGUGCCUGGGAUGGGACAGUCUUAACCACAGAAAUCAUAGCUGUGUGGUCUGUCUUAAGUCAGCUAUUAUUGCAUGGGUGUUUUGUAUACGCAGAGGGGUCUGUACUGUAACUAGCGCUCUCUGUCACUCGCUCCCACCAUCACUAUGCCUGGACCUACCCAUCCCUGAUAAGAGCAGGGAUUUUCUAACUCUCACACACAGAGCAGGCAYAAUACGGGAAAUGCGCUGUACUGUAUUUAUGUAGAUACAUGGUUUCAUUUUUGUAAUUAUUUUCAGUACCUCUUAAGUUAGAAUAUUUCAGACAGCAAUAAUUUUUCUUUACAUCUAUUUGGUCAAUUGAUUACAUAAAAAUAAACCUGUAUUUUGAUCAAAAGUGAAGGAGUUGUCGGGUGUGUGUAAAUGAAUGUUUUCUGCUUUGUUCUGUUGACAGAUAUGAGUAAAGGGCCCAGGUUAAUGUGAUAUGUUAGAAUGCACUGCUGGAGUGUAGCCAGAUAAAUGUCUGAGUGUAACCAUGUUGUACAGCAGGCAGGUUAACCAGGUCUCAGCCCAUUUAAAGAGAAGGCAGUGGGGUGGGGGCCGUGGGACAGGUCUGGAGCCUUAAUCUUUGUUGCUGCAUUUUAAAAGAUGUAUUCAGUAGCUGGCUCACAGUACUCUCUGGAUGCAUCCCAAAUGCUACCUUAUUCGCUUUACAAUGCACUAGAGCCCAUAAGGCUCUGGUCAAAAGUUGUGUACUAUAUAGGGUGCCAAUUGGGACGAACAUCUAUCUCCAGAUGUGGAGCUCAGAUGUGCCACUGAUACCCUCCUGCAGUCUUGACUUCCAUGUUGUAUUAAAGCAGAACAUCAGUAAAGCUCUUCUUCCCCAUUUUUCUUCUGAUAACCAUCGCYUUUCCACUGAACGCUGCAUCUUCGGCCCAGUGUGUGUAGCUGAGAUGGAUUAAAGCUGUCUUCCCGCUGUUCAAAA